rnacentral:ncRNA from 1 species
UUAAAGUUUUAUUUUAGCUGAAAAAUUUAUUGUUUUUAUAUUUUAUAUGUGAGUUUUUGCGAGAAUUAUUUUUGUUUUUAAUAAAUUAAAAUUAUUUUUUAUUCGCAGUAUUUAGAAUUAAUAAUUAAAGAAAUUUAGAAUUAGUAAUAAAUAAAAGUAUGGGUUAAUUUUGUGCCAGCAUCCGCGGUUAUACAAAAUAUACAAAUAAAUUUUAUUAUUAUAUAGUUAAUUGAUUUAUUAUAAGUAAGAUUAUAAAUUUUAAGGUGAAAUUUGAAUUUGUAUUAUAUUUAUAUGAAAAUGUUUAUGAAGCUAUGAAAAUUUAUUAAUAAACUAGGAUUAGAUACCCUAUUAUUUAAAAUGUAAAGAAUAAAUUAUAUGGUAGUAGUAGUUAAAGUCUUGAAACUAAAAAAAUUUGGCGGUAUUUUAAUCUAAUUAGAGGAAUCUGUCCCAUGAUCGAUAGUCCACGAGAGAUUUUACAUAAUUUUAUUUAAUUUGUAUAUCGUCGUUAUAAGGGAAUUUUAUAAGAAUAAUAAUUUUCUAGAAUUUGUAUUAUGAUAUAUUUCAGAUCAAGGUGCAAUAUAUAAUUAUGAGGAGAUGGAUUACAAUAAAUUUAUUUAUAUGGAUAGUAAAUUGAAAUAUUUACUUGAAGGUGGAUUUAAUAGUAAUUUGAAUUAAAUUAUUUAGAUGAUUAUAGUUCUAAAAUAUGUACAUAUCGCCCGUCGCUCUCUUUAUUAAAAAGAGAUAAGUCGUAACAAAGUAGGUGUACUGGAAAGUGUACCUAGAAUGGU